rnacentral:rRNA from 1 species
UGGGGAAUUUUGGACAAUGGGGGCAACCCUGAUCCAGCCAUCCCGCGUGUGCGAUGAAGGCCUUCGGGUUGUAAAGCACUUUUGGCAGGGAAGAAACAGCCUGGGCUAAUAUCCCGGGCGACUGACGGUACCUGCAGAAUAAGCACCGGCUAACUACGUGCCAGCAGCCGCGGUAAUACGUAGGGUGCAAGCGUUAAUCGGAAUUACUGGGCGUAAAGCGUGCGCAGGCGGUUCGGAAAGAAAGGUGUGAAAUCCCAGGGCUUAACCUUGGAACUGCACUUUUAACUACCGGGCCAGAGUACGUCAGAGGGGGGUAGAAUUCCACGUGUAGCAGUGAAAUGCGUAGAGAUGUGGAGGAAUACCGAUGGCGAAGGCAGCCCCCUGGGAUGAUACUGACGCUCAUGCACGAAAGCGUGGGGAGCAAACA